rnacentral:rRNA from 1 species
UGAGUAUAAUUUAAAGUAGGGCCUGCCCACUGAAUUAUUGAAGGGCCGCAGUAUUUUGACUGUGCAAAGGUAGCAUAAUCAUUAGUUUUUUAAUUGAAAACUUGUAUGAAUGGUUUGAUGAGAAAACAGCUUUCUUUGUUUAAAUUUUUAAAAAAUUUAUUUUUAAGUUAAAAAGCUUAAAUAUCUUUAAUAGACGAGAAGACCCUAUAGAGUUUAAUUUUUAUUAAUAAUUAAUUUUUUAGAAUUUAUUUAUUUUAUUGUUAAAAAAAAUUUAGUUGGGGUGAUUAAAAAAUUAAAAUAACUUUUAUUAAUUUUUAACAUUAAUUUAUGAAAUUGUGAUCCA